rnacentral:rRNA from 1 species
UACGAAGGGGGCUAGCGUUGCUCGGAAUCACUGGGCGUAAAGGGUGCGUAGGCGGGUCUUUAAGUCAGGGGUGAAAUCCUGGAGCUCAACUCCAGAACUGCCUUUGAUACUGAAGAUCUUGAGUGCGGGAGAGGUGAGUGGAACUGCGAGUGUAGAGGUGAAAUUCGUAGAUAUUCGGAAGAACACCAGUGGCGAAGGCGGCUCACUGGCCCGGUACUGACGCUGAGAUACGAAAGCGUGGGGAGCAAACAGG